UGGUGCAGUAAUUCAGCAGGUCAGGCAGCAUCUAUGGAAAUGAAUAAACGCUCAAAGUUUUGGACCGAGACACUUCUUCGGGUCUGAUAAGGAAGGAAGAAGACGCCAGAAUAAAAAAGGUACUAGGGGAGAGGAAGCAAGAUAGCUAGAAGAUGAUAGACAGCUGGAGCUUGGCAGUGUCUGAUAAUUCCAUCCACCUGCACUUCCUAACACGCCCUACAGACUGGCAGAGGAAGACCUGGGAAGUGUGACCUAUGGCAGACUCUCUACUCAAAAACGCUCAUGAACUAAAGACCUGUCUAUUGGUCAUUGUCCCAGCGAAGCCAUGUGCGGCAGAAAUGGCAGCAGCACCCUCUCUCAUCAGCAGAAAGCUCCCUGGGGCCCAGGAUCUCUACUCUGCUCUGCUAUCAUCUCCUUCCGAUAUAAAGACAAAUCUUCCUGAUUAGACUUACCAUCAAAAUCCUGUUCAAAUAAGGUAGGUAAGAAAGUUUCUGAUACAUCCUCAAAAUUCGAAUCUUGAUUUGAACUGUCAUGGGUAACAACCUCAUCCUUUACAUCAGUCUUUUAAGCCAUAGCUCCUGUUACAACACAAAAAGAAGCUGUGUUAGAAUCCCUCUGUGGUUUCUCAGAAUU